rnacentral:rRNA from 1 species
UAAGGAAUAUUGGUCAAUGGAGGCAACUCUGAACCAGCCAUGCCGCGUGCAGGAAGAAGGCCCUAUGGGUCGUAAACUGCUUUUGAACAAGAGAAAACCCCGGUACGUGUACUGGGUUGAUAGUAUUGUUAGAAUAAGCAUCGGCUAACUUCGUGCCAGCAGCCGCGGUAAGACGAAGGAUGCAAGCGUUAUCCGGAUUCAUUGGGUUUAAAGGGUGCGUAGGCGGACUGAUAAGUCAGUGGUGAAAUCUCUCGGCUUAACCGAGAAACUGCCAUUGAUACUGUUAGUCUAGAGUACAGAUGAUGUGGGCGGAAUAUGACAUGUAGUGGUGAAAUACUUAGAUAUGUCAUAGAACACCGAUUGCGAAGGCAGCUCACAAAACUGUAACUGACGCUGAGGCACGAAAGUGCGGGGAUCAAACAGGAUUAGAUACCCACGUAGUCCCUGAG